CGCGGGGUAGAGCAGACCGGCAGCUCGUUGGGCUCAUAACCCAAAGGUCGUGGGUUCAAAUCCCACCCCCGCUACCA
rnacentral:tRNA from 2 species